CCUACGGGUGGCAGCAGUGGGGAAUAUUGCGCAAUGGGCGAAAGCCUGACGCAGCGACGCCGCGUGAGGGAUGAAGGUCUUCGGAUCGUAAACCUCUGUCAGCAGGGAAGAACGGUCACUGUGCUAAUCAGCAGUGAAUUGACGGUACCUGCAAAGGAAGCACCGGCUAACUCCGCGCCAGCAGCCGCGGUAAUACGGAGGGUGUGAGCGUUAAUCGGAAUUACUGGGCGUAAAGCGCUCGUAGGCGGUAUGUCAAGUCAAGGGUGAAAUCCCCGCGCUCAACGUGGGAACUGCCUUUGAAACUGGCAAACUGGAGUGUGUGAGAGGAUAGUGGAAUUCCAGGUGUAGGAGUGAAAUGCGUAGAUAUCUGGCGGAACAUCAGUGGCGAAGGCGACUAUCUGGCACAUAACUGACGCUGAGGAGCGAAAGCGUGGGUAGCAAACAGGAUUAGAUACCCUUGUAGUC
rnacentral:rRNA from 1 species